UACGGAGGGUGCAAGCGUUAUCCGGAUUCACUGGGUUUAAAGGGUGCGUAGGCGGACAGGUAAGUCAGUGGUGAAAUCUCUGGGCUUAACCCAGAAACUGCCGUUGAUACUAUUUGUCUUGAAUAUCCUGGAGGUAGGCGGAAUAUGUCAUGUAGCGGUGAAAUGCUUAGAUAUGACAUAGAACACCGAUAGCGAAGGCAGCUUACUACAGGAUGAUUGACGCUGAGGCACGAAAGCGUGGGGAGCAAAUAGG
rnacentral:rRNA from 1 species